GAAACAGACGAAGAGUAAAGUGAAUUAAGCUAAGGUUAAAGUUAUGCGACGUUGAUGCAACCAUGCCUUAGUAUUUAAUUUUUCUUAAGAUUUAGAAUAGCUUCGUCUCUGUAAGACAUAUUUUUAUAUAAUAAAGAUGUCUCACAUGUAA